rnacentral:rRNA from 1 species
GUUGAACGCUGGCGGCAUGCUUUACACAUGCAAGUCGAACGGCAGCGCGGGCUUCGGCCUGGCGGCGAGUGGCGAACGGGUGAGUAAUGCAUCGGAACGUGCCCAGUAGUGGGGGAUAGCCCGGCGAAAGCCGGAUUAAUACCGCAUACGACCUGAGGGGGAAGGCGGGGGACCGAAAGGCCUCGCGCUAUUGGAGCGGCCGAUGUCGGAUAAGCUAGUUGGUGGGGUAAAGGCUUACCAAGGCGACGAUCCGUAGCUGGUCUGAGAGGACGACCAGCCACACUGGGACUGAGACACGGCCCAGACUCCUACGGGAGGCAGCAGUGGGGAAGUUUGGACAAUGGGGGCAACCCUGAUCCAGCCAUGCCGCGUGCGGGAAGAAGGCCUUCGGGUUGUAAACCGCUUUUGUUCGGGAAGAAAUCCUCUGGGCUAAUACCCCGGGGGGAUGACGGUACCGGAAGAAUAAGCACCGGCUAACUACGUG